GAUGAACGCUGGCGGCGUGCUUAACACAUGCAAGUCGAACGAAGCAUUUAGGACAGAUUACUUCGGCUUGAAGUUCUUUAUGACUGAGUGGCGGACGGGUGAGUAACGCGUGGGUAACCUGCCUUGUACUGGGGGAUAGCAGCUGGAAACGGCUGGUAAUACCGCAUAAGCGCACAAUGUUGCAUGACAUGGUGUGAAAAACUCCGGUGGUAUAAGAUGGACCCGCGUCUGAUUAGCUAGUUGGUGAGAUAACAGCCCACCAAGGCGACGAUCAGUAGCCGACCUGAGAGGGUGACCGGCCACAUUGGGACUGAGACACGGCCCAGACUCCUACGGGAGGCAGCAGUGGGGAAUAUUGCACAAUGGAGGAAACUCUGAUGCAGCGACGCCGCGUGAGUGAAGAAGUAAUUCGUUAUGUAAAGCUCUAUCAGCAGGGAAGAUAGUGACGGUACCUGACUAAGAAGCUCCGGCUAAAUACGUG
rnacentral:rRNA from 1 species